AAAUGUAGUAUAUUUUCUGAAAGUCAUUUUUCGAAUAAUUAAACGAAAAGAAAACCGGAAAUGUUUACAGCAUUGAUGGUUUCAACAUUUUCUAGAUUCGGAGCGGCGUAUUAUGUGAGUAUGUUUUUUUAUUAUCUAUUUUAAUUCGAUUAAAUAUAAUUUUAGAGCUCGGUAAUCACAGAAUACUUAUAUCAGCCUUUCUUAGUCGUUGUAAAAUGAUCUGUUGGGAAAAACAUCUCCAGAAUGUUUUUUCUG